rnacentral:rRNA from 1 species
CCAAAGAAUUUGGCGGUGUUUUAUUCUAAUCAGAGGAACUUGCCCCGUUAUCGAUAGCCCUCGUUUUAUCUUUCUUGAUUUAUUUAGUAUGUAUACCGCCGUUAUAAGUUUAUUUUUUUAGAAUUUAUUUACUGGUAAUUUUAUUUUAUAUUAUUUCAGGUCAAGGUGCAGCUUAUAAUUAAGUGGAGGUGAGUUACAAUAUUAUUUAAAUAAAUGGAUUUUUUUUUUGAAAAUUUUAAUGAAGGUGGAUUUGAUGGUAAUUUUAUUUAUAGAUUUAUUUUGAAUUUAGCCCUAAAACAAGUACACAUCGCCCGUCGCUCU